rnacentral:rRNA from 1 species
GACGAACGCUGGCGGCGUGCUUAACACAUGCAAGUCGAACGCUGAAGCCUAGCUUGCUGGGUGGAUGAGUGGCGAACGGGUGAGUAACACGUGAGUAACCUGCCCUCUUCUUUGGGAUAACGCCCGGAAACGGGUGCUAAUACUGGAUAUUCACUGAUCUUCGCAUGGGGGUUGGUGGAAAGGUUUUUUCUGGUGGGGGAUGGGCUCGCGGCCUAUCAGCUUGUUGGUGGGGUGAUGGCCUACCAAGGCUUUGACGGGUAGCCGGCCUGAGAGGGUGACCGGUCACAUUGGGACUGAGAUACGGCCCAGACUCCUACGGGAGGCAGCAGUGGGGAAUAUUGCACAAUGGGCGAAAGCCUGAUGCAGCGACGCCGCGUGAGGGAUGGAGGCCUUCGGGUUGUAAACCUCUUUCGCUCAUGGUCAAGCCGCAACUCAAGGUUGUGGUGAGGGUAGUGGGUAAAGAAGCGCCGGCUAACUACGUGCCAGCAGCCGCGGUAAUACGUAGGGCGCGAGCGUUGUCCGGAAUUAUUGGGCGUAAAGGGCUUGUAGGCGGUUGGUCGCGUCUGCCGUGAAAUCCUCUGGCUUAACUGGGGGCGUGCGGUGGGUACGGGCUGACUUGAGUGCGGUAGGGGAGACUGGAACUCCUGGUGUAGCGGUGGAAUGCGCAGAUAUCAGGAAGAACACCGGUGGCGAAGGCGGGUCUCUGGGCCGUUACUGACGCUGAGGAGCGAAAGCGUGGGGAGCGAACAGG